rnacentral:rRNA from 1 species
GAUGAACGCUGGCGGCGUGCCUAAUACAUGCAAGUCGAGCGAACAGACGAGGAGCUUGCUCCUCUGACGUUAGCGGCGGACGGGUGAGUAACACGUGGAUAAGCUACCUAUAAGACUGGGAUAACUUCGGGAAACCGGAGCUAAUACCGGAGAAUAUAUUGAACCGCAUGGAGCAAUAGUGAAAGACGGUUUUGCUGUUACUUAUAGAUGGAUCCGCGCCGCAUUAGCUAGUUGGUAAGGUAACGGCUUACCAAGGCGACGAUGCGUAGCCGACCUGAGAGGGUGAUCAGCCACACUGGAACUGAGACACGGUCCAGACUCCUACGGGAGGCAGCAGUAGGGAAUCUUCCACAAUGGGCGAAAGCCUGACGGAGCAACGCCGCGUGAGUGAUGAAGGUCUUCGGAUCGUAAAACUCUGUUAUUAGGGAAGAACAAAUGUGUAAGUAACUAUGCACGUCUUGACGGUACCUAAUCAGAAAGCCACGGCUAACUACGUG